UGUUGGGUUGGCCAAAAAGUUUAUUCAGAUUUUUGCAUUCCCAUCUUAUAGAAAAACCCAAAUGAAUUUUUUGGCCAACCCAA
rnacentral:miRNA from 1 species